rnacentral:rRNA from 1 species
GAUGAACGCUGGCGGCGUGCCUAAUACAUGCAAGUCGAGCGAACAGACGAGGAGCUUGCUCCUCUGACGUUAGCGGCGGACGGGUGAGUAACACGUGGAUAACCUACCUAUAAGACUGGGAUAACUUCGGGAAACCGGAGCUAAUACCGGAUAAUAUAUUGAACCGCAUGGUUCAAUAGUGAAAGACGGUUUUGCUGUCACUUAUAGAUGGAUCCGCGCCGCAUUAGCUAGUUGGUAAGGUAACGGCUUACCAAGGCAACGAUGCGUAGCCGACCUGAGAGGGUGAUCGACCACCCAGGAACGGAGACACCGUCGAGACUCCUACGGGGGGCAGAAGUAGGGAAGCGUCAGAAAGGGGGGAAGGCCUGCCGGAGCAACGCCGCGGGAGUGAUGAAGGUCUUCGGAUCGUAAAACUCUUUUAUUAGGAAAGAACAUAUGUGUACGUAACUGUGCGCAUCUUGACGGUACCUAAUCAGAAAGCCACGGCUAACUACGUG